rnacentral:rRNA from 1 species
CUACGGGGGGCUGCAGUGGGGAAUAUUGCACAAUGGGCGCAAGCCUGAUGCAGCCAUGCCGCGUGUAUGAAGAAGGCCUUCGGGUUGUAAAGUACUUUCAGCGGGGAGGAAGGGAGUAAAGUUAAUACCUUUGCUCAUUGACGUUACCCGCAGAAGAAGCACCGGCUAACUCCGUGCCAGCAGCCGCGGUAAUACGGAGGGUGCAAGCGUUAAUCGGAAUUACUGGGCGUAAAGCGCACGCAGGCGGUUUGUUAAGUCAGAUGUGAAAUCCCCGGGCUCAACCUGGGAACUGCAUCUGAUACUGGCAAGCUUGAGUAUCGUAGAGGGGGGUAGAAUUCCAGGUGUAGCGGUGAUAUGCGUAGAGAUCUGGAGGAAUACCGGUGGCGAAGGCGGCCCCCUGGACGAAGACUGACGCUCAGGUGCGAAAGCGUGGGGAGCAAACAGGAUUAGAUACCCCAGUAGUC